rnacentral:lncRNA from 1 species
AGUUUUUUUAUUUGUGGGUUAUUUUAACUGUUAAGGAUACGGCAGUGCGUAAAUAUGCGAAAAGUCGCAGCCAAUUGUCAUUGCAGAGGUGCCGGUAAUAUCCGGGCGCCGAAUAUACAAGGUUCGCGCGCGACAAGUCAACUUUGAAAAAUCAUAACUCCGGUCCAAAUCGUUUCCCCGGGAUGAUCUUGAGCUUGUUUUAAAGCUUAGACGGUCUACUUUCAUAAAAUAAUAGUUUUGUAAUUUUUCGUGCGUUCCCUUCAACGCUGCGGCUCAAAAUAUAAAAAAUUGAAAUUUUGAGCUACGGCAACGUGGCAACAAUGGAUGAAAAUUUCAAAAUGGACCAAUUUCGUGAAUACCAGCUGAAAUCUGAUAAUUUUCUCUAAAUUUUGAGACCAAGAUCAUCUCUCUACGACAAACCGUUCACGAGAUAUGCCCGUUUAAAGUUUAAACUUUAACCCCCUCCCCCUCCCGCCCUAAUUAUCAAAAUUCAAAAAUCGUCAGUGUUUUGGACUUGGGAAGUGAUCCUCUAUCAACCCUGAAAAUAUUACAAAGAUUUGGCCGAGGUUGGAAAUGGCCGAUUUUGAAUAAGGUCCUUUCUCGCUCAAAUUGCGACAAAAAUUCCGGACCUCCUUGCGGAAUUCCCGCACUUUUUCAGUACUUCCAGACCGCUCUUAAAAAAUCAGUACUAUUUCCGGACUUUCCGGAAAUUUCGGACUUGUAGACACCCUGGUGGACGACAGUAUAAAAUUCUCACCUUGAUCCGGCGUGGAAUCGGUGCGGGCGGGCGGAGGGCGGUUGCGGGCCGGCACCGGGGGCGCCGGGUUGGGAUUGGGGUGGUUCGGGGGUGGCUGCGCGGGGGUGGGGUUGGCGGAGCCGUUGGUGAGGUGCAGAAUGUUAUGAGUUUACUCCAUGCCUUCGCCAAUGCAACACGGGUUGUUACUCGCGGUAAACCUGCAACAGAUAAUGGAUAUUUUUAUUUAGACUAAAUAUGCAUUGAUGGCGCAUGAAACUUGCAAAAUCUUGAAAAGUUACAAUAGAUGAGAAACAUGAUU